UCGCGCAGCAAAGAUGCUGAUCCAUCUCCUCUCCGAUGGCUCCUAGGUCCUAGUCGUUUCGUCGCAGGUGGCGCAGUUUGAGGCAGAUUAGAUCGGAUUCCUCACCUCCUCCCCACUCUCAGGCUCCCAGAUCAGCUCGCGGCCGUCCUCCUCCACCCCCCACCCCCUCUCGCGAUUCAGCACUAGCUCAACGCUCGUGGAUCCUCGCCUCCUUCCCAGCCGGCCGCUCUCUGGUUCUGCGAACAGGCCGCCACGGUUCUUCGUUCUGCAGGUAAAUAUAAAUGUUAAUUUUUUAUUAGCUAGUAGAUUGAUACUACAUCUUCAUAGUUUUAUAUUCUUUCUACUUGUUAAUGUCAAAUCCUUUUCAUUUCAGUUGCUGGAGUAGUAACAGCAGAAGAAUGAACAGCAGCUUGAGUAGAAUAGAAGCAGAUCCGUUCUGGUGAUGCUUAUGUUGGUUGGAUUCUUAUUUUAUCCAGAAGCAGCAUGUUGAUUAGUGCUAUGACUUAGUUAUGGUAUUGUGUAUUGCUACCAGAAGCAGCACGUGUACCGACUGUACAUAAACGCUAACCGAUUUCUAGCAUGAAGCAAUACACUAGCAAAUCUAGCUAUUCCGGCGAGAUGCACUAGUACAGGAAGUAGGCUGCUCUGGCUUCGUCGAUUCUUCAGCGGCAAGCCGACACGCACACACGUGAAACACAAUGGCUAUUUUUUUCUCUCCAUGCAAAGAUACAUAUUCAGAUGCAUAUAUACAGUUGAUGUUUUUCUUCUUUGAUCUGUUCCUUAUUUCGACAGUGGCACAAGGCAUCACCAUGUCCAAUCACUCACACUUGUGACAGUUAUUGUUCCCACUACAGAGCUAAUUAUUGUUGUUUUUCUUUUGUCAAUUGCAUGCAAUCCUUUUUCCUCCUAUUGCGAUGAAUAGACACAAAUAUGCCAUUGCAUGUUCUGCUAGGGGAUUCCUUGGGUUGGCAAUUCCUUUUUAAUGCUUACUGCUGAUCUUUCAUCCCCCAAAUUCUGACAUUUGUUAUUGGCUGGGUGCUCACUCCAGUAUUUCUAUGCACAUGAAUAUUUUCUUGUCCUUCUGUUUAGCUUUUUGUACCAGAGUAAUUAAUUACAUUUCCCUAUAAUAGAAUGCUUCCCAUAAGCCAUGCCUUUGAUAUGGCCCAUGUGGCAGAAGUUUGACAUGGAAAAGAUGAUCCCCAGUCUAAAUUUGCAAUUCUCAUCUCAGGAUCCAGUAAUGGAGGGUAGCAGUGCGAUGUCUCCGCUAGGAGAGCCCUCAAUUCCAAUGAUCGCAGCAUGUGCACCAACACUAUCAGGUGUGAGAAUAGCGGUACGAGGAAGUCAAGAUAUCCUGAUGUAUCUAACAUUAUGUUAAUCCCUUGUGUGAUGUUGGUUGAUAAAAAAAUUGUUUGCAGCCAUGGAAUCGGUCAACAGUGUUCAAAAUCAAGGAUGUGUGUAUGUGAUUUAGUACUAAUCCUUCAUCCAUGGCAUGAGCCUAUCUGGCAUCUUGUUCAUUUAUAUUUUCCCGUGCUGCUGUGGUUUUCUUAUUAUUACAAGGUAUAAUAUAAUGCAUGCCAUCAAGUUUUGUUUAUAGCUAUCAAAUUUGAAUAAUAAUUUGCAUCUGCAGGGCAUUCAUAAAACUCCCUUUAAAUUGUUCAAUGCCACUUAUUUGUCGUUCUCAUUUGUGCUUUUAACUAACCUUGGAAUUAUAAUCCAUUUAUUGUAGGUCUAUAAUGAAAUAAUGAACUAUGCUGCAACAAAAAAUUUGUACUCUCUCUAUUAGACAUAUCCAACUAUCACAUGCCAUUUUAUUUUAUUUGGAAAAUCCCCUGUAGAAGCUGGAAAGCCAGCUUGACCUACAAAGUUAUCCUGAUUGGUUACAUAUGUAUUAAUAUGUUUGAGGUUCAACCUAAGUUUUGACAUAGUAUAAGUUAUGUUUCCUAGGUUGGAGUGCUGAAAGAAGCUGGACAUAUACAAUGAUUAUUUCUCUUCUCAAGAUAUGCUAUUUGGUAUAUGUUUUUGACUGACCCCUAUUUACUUGGUAUAUGUUUCUGACUGACCCCUAUUUACUUGGUGUGUUUACCUAGGUAGAUCGAACUGAUCAAGUGUCCAUGGAGGUUGUCAUCUCUCUCCCAGCAGGAAGCUCGAUUGCCAGGAAGCACUAACACGAGGCAAAAUGAUAGAUAUUUUCGUUCUUGUACCAGCAAGAUGCUUGUUGGGCGAUGAUAAUUUCAGUCUUUACCACUUGUUCUUGCCGGCCAUAUACUAAAAAUGAUCUGUAUGCCACAUGUACUCAAGUACUCAAAUGCUUGCUAAGCACUGAUAAUUCCAGUCCUUAAUUUGCUCUACUUCCAGUUCUACUAGCCUUUUGUGAUGUGUUCUCAUGUACUCGAGUACUGAAAUGCUUGCCGAGCAGCUAUCAAUCCUUAAAUUGCUAUAUUUCCAGUUUGAC
rnacentral:lncRNA from 1 species